UCAGGAUGAACGCUAGCUACAGGCUUAACACAUGCAAGUCGAGGGGCAGCAUGAUCGAAGCUUGCUUUGAUUGAUGGCGACCGGCGCACGGGUGAGUAACGCGUAUCCAACCUUCCCUAUAGUAGAGGAUAGCCCGGCGAAAGUCGGAUUAAUACUCUAUGUUUUCCAAUGCAGACAUCUAAAAUGGAACAAAGGUUUACCGCUAUAGGAUGGGGAUGCGUCUGAUUAGAUAGUAGGCGGGGUAACGGCCCACCUAGUCGACGAUCAGUAGGGGUUCUGAGAGGAAGGUCCCCCACAUUGGAACUGAGACACGGUCCAAACUCCUACGGGAGGCAGCAGUGAGGAAUAUUGGUCAAUGGGCGAGAGCCUGAACCAGCCAAGUAGCGUGCAAGGAUGACGGCCCUAUGGGUUGUAAACUGCUUUUAUACAGGGAUAAAGUGCGCCACGUGUGGCGUUUUGUAGGUACUGUAUGAAUAAGGACCGGCUAAUUCCGUGCCAGCAGCAGC
rnacentral:rRNA from 1 species